rnacentral:rRNA from 1 species
AUAAAAGAUAUUAAGGGCCAUAGGUGGAUGCCUUGGCUGGUAGAGGCGAUGAAAGACGUACUAGGCUGCGAAAAGCCUCGGGGAGCUGCCAAGAAGCUUUGAUCCGGGGAUUUCUGAAUGGGGCAACCCAACAUGGAGAGAUUCAUGUUACCCUACGGGGGGCGAACCAAGGGAAGUGAAACAUCUCAGUACCUUGAGGAAAAGAGAUCAAUUGAGAUUCCGGGAGUAGCGGCGAGCGAAACUGGAGUAGGGCGGAUAGUGAUAAUAUAUUUGUUAGCUAAAGGAUCUGGAAAGUUCCGGCAUAGAGGGUGAUACUCCCGUAAGCGAAAACAUUUAUAUGGUACUAGGCUAUCGAACGAGUAGGUCGGGACACGUGUUAUCUUGACUGAAUAUGGGGGGACCACCCUCCAACCCUAAAUACUACUACCAGACCGAUAGUGAACAAGUACCGUGAGGGAAAGGUGAAAAGGACUGCGGUGAGCAGAGUGAAAUAGAACCUGAAACCUAUGGCUUACAAUCAUUCGGAGCACUAUUAUAAAGUGUGACGGACUGCCUUUUGCAUAAUGAGCCUGCGAGUUGUGGUAUCUGGCAAGGUUAAGCGAACGCGAAGCCGUAGCGAAAGCGAGUCUUAAUAGGGCGACAUAGUCAGAUGCUGCAGACCCGAAACUGAGUGAUCUAUCCAUGAGCAGGUUGAAGCUGGUGUAAGAGCCAGUGGAGGACCGAACCCGCUGACGUUGAAAAGUCAUGGGAUGACUUGUGGAUAGGGGU